GCAAAGCUAACACACUUAUAUAACUGUACUAUUGAAGGUUUCGUUCAUUGACACAAAUUAUCGAACACCUUCAAGGCAACCGACGUUUCGACAAUCUUGGUGAAGUCCUUGCUGCAUUUGGUGUCACUGGUACACUCUUCUUCUCAGAUCCCUUCACUCCCUUCUUCAAUUUUCUACCUCUGGGUUUCAAUUUCUCAACUACAGCUUCUUUGUUUCUACCACUCCUUGUUCUUCCCAUAACUACCCCAUCACUCUUCUCAGCAACUUUAUCAAAAU
rnacentral:misc_RNA from 1 species